rnacentral:rRNA from 1 species
UUAAGUAAGAAAGGGCGUACGGUGGAUGCCUAGGCACUUGAAACUGAAGAAGGACGCAACAAACGGCGAAACGCGGCGGGGAGCUGUACGUAAGCAAAGAUCCGCCGGUAUCCGAAUGGGGGAACCCGGCAUGCGUAAUAGCAUGUCAUCCGCAGAUGAACAAAUAGUCUGCGAGAGAGGUACCCGGGGAACUGAAACAUCUAAGUACCCGGAGGAAAAGAAAACAACAGUGAUUCCCUGAGUAGCGGCGAGCGAAAGGGGAGGAGCCCAAACCAGACCGAGGUCUGGGGUUGAAGGACCGCGAUACGGCAAGAAUCAUGGUAGGAGAACGGCAUUGAAAGGCCGACCGGAGAGGGUGCAAGUCCCGUAUCCGAAACCGUGAGGAAGCCCAGCGGGAUCCUGAGUACGGCGAGACACGAGAAAUCUUGUCGGAAGCAGGCGGGACCAUCCGUCAAGGCUAAAUAUAAGCAAGUGACCGAUAGUGAACCAGUACCGUGAGGGAAAGGUGAAAAGAACCGCGGGAGCGGAGUGAAAUAGAACCUGAAACCGUAUGCUUACAAGAAGUCAGAGCACGUUAAGGUGUGAUGGCGUGCCUUUUGUAGAAUGAACCGGCGAGUUAUGUUAUCGUGCGAGGUUAAGCAGGAGAUGCGGAGCCGAAGCGAAAGCGAGUCUUAAUAGGGCGGCAGUACGAUGACAUAGACCCGAAACCGUGUGAUCUAGCCAUGACCAGGUUGAAGUUCAGGUGAAACUGAAUGGAGGACCGAACCGACCCCCGUUGAAAAGUUGGCGGAUGAGUUGUGGCUAGGGGAGAAAUUCCAAUCGAACACGGAUAUAGCUGGUUCUCCCCGAAAUAGCUUUAGGGCUAGCGUCGAGGAUGAGUCUUGUGGAGGUAGAGCACUGAAUGUACGAUGGCCCCAUCCCGGGGUACUGAGUAUAAUCAAACUCCGAAUGCCAUGAGAUAUUCCCGGCAGUCAGACCGUGGGUGAUAAGGUCCAUGGUCAAAAGGGAAACAGCCCAGACCGCCAGUUAAGGUCCCAAAAUGUAUGCUAAGUGGAAAAGGAUGUGGGGAUGCACAGACAACUAGGAGGUUGGCUCAGAAGCAGCCAUCCUUCAAAGAGUGCGUAACAGCUCACUAGUCGAGUGACCCUGCGCCGAAAAUGUACCGGGGCUAAGCAUACUACCGAAGCUGCGGAUUUGUAGUAAUACAAGUGGUAGGGGAGCGUUCCAUGCACGUGGAAGCCAUACCGAAAGGAGUGGUGGAGAGCAUGGAAGUGAGAAUGCCGGUGUGAGUAGCGAGAUGCAGGUGAGAAUCCUGCACACCGAUAGCCCAAGGAUUCCAGGGGAAGGUUCGUCCGCCCUGGGUAAGUCGGGACCUAAGGCGAGGCCGAAAGGCGUAGUCGAUGGAAAACAGGCAGAUAUUCCUGUACCCGCGAUGGAAAUGAAGGAAUGACGGAGAAGGCUAGCAUGAGCCACUUAUUGGAUUGUGGUCGAAGCGAAUAGCAGGUGCAUAGUAAAAUGCGUGCACGGAAUGUAAAACGUGAUAGGUAAGCGAAACCUUUGGGGAGUAGCGAAGCAUGCGAGGCCAGCUUCCAGGAAAAGUUUCUAGUGCCAAUUCCAUAGCGGCCCGUACCAAAACCGACACAGGUGGGCAAGGAGAGUAUCCUGAGGUGAGCGAGAGAACUGUUGCCAAGGAACUCGGCAAAAUGACUCCGUAAGUUAGCGAGAAGGAGUGCUUAUGAAAGUAAGCCGCAGUGAAGAGGCCCAAGCGACUGUUUAACUAAAACACAGCUCUCUGCGAAGUCGCAAGACGAAGUAUAGGGGGUGACGCCUGCCCGGUGCUGGAAGGUUAAGAGGAUUUGUCAGUUUCGACGAAGCAAUGAAUUGAAGCCCCAGUGAACGGCGGCCGUAACUAUAACGGUCCUAAGGUAGCGAAAUUCCUUGUCAGGUAAGUUCUGACCCGCACGAAAGGUGUAACGAUUUGAGCACUGUCUCGACAACACGCCCGGUGAAAUUGAAGAACCAGUGAAGAUACUGGUUACCCGCAACAGGACGGAAAGACCCCAUGGAGCUUUACUGCAGCCUGAUACUGGGAUUCGAUGAUAUAUGUACAGGAUAGGAGGGAGACUAGGAAUCCGGGACGCCAGUUUCGGAGGAGUCGACGGUGGGAUACCUCUCUUAUGUUAUUGGAUUUCUAACUUGGCACCGUGAUCCGGUGUGAGGACAAUGUCAGGCGGGCAGUUUGACUGGGGCGGUCGCCUCCUAAAAGGUAACGGAGGCGCUCGAAGGUCACCUCAGAAUGAUUGGAAACCAUUCAAAGAGUGUAAAGGCAAAAGGUGGCUUGACUGCGACACCGACGGGUGGAGCAGGUACGAAAGUAGGACUUAGUGAUCC